GUAGGUGAACCUGCGGAGGGAUCAUUACCGAGUGCGGGCCCUCGCGCCCAACCUCCAACCCUUUGUCGAUUACUAUCCGUUGCCUCGGGGGGCGACCCGGACCCUGCGCGCGGGAGUCCCCCAGAGGUCCAACCAAACACACUGCGUCUUUACGUCGAGUAUUGAAAAAACAAUCAAUCAAAACUUUCAACAACGGAUCUCUUGGUUCUGGCAUCGAUGAAGAACGCAGCAUCUGACUGACUACGUGGUU
rnacentral:misc_RNA from 1 species